ensembl:lncRNA
GGCCAGAGGCCCUGAUGCCUCUGGUUCCAUUUCCUCCUUCAGGCUUGAGACACUGCCCUGUAGGCUUCCUCCGCUCUGGGUAGAAACCCAUCUUCAUCCCUGAUUCCUGGUAUAAACACAAGGGCAGCCAAAGAAACAAAAUGUUCUCUGUGCCACUGCCAGAUUCCAGUGUGUUAAACAGGAAUACAGAGCGAAGACAUGGUGCGGCACAGGGACCUGCCUCCUCCAACCACUGUUCAACCUUGGGGGCCCAGUAGCCUUGGCUUUGGCUUGGAAGCUUAGAGCUCAGCCUGAAGAAAUGGCCCAUAAAAAGCCCCAUUCCUGGCACUUAUCCAGAUAUUCCCCAGGAGAUGUGUUCAAACAAGAAUCUUCUCUCUGCUCCCCUACCUCCCAUGACUCUGCUUGUAGGAUGAGUCCAGUCUCAGGAAAGGACAAGCCAGAGAUCUGGGCUCAGGAUCUGUUCUGCCAUUAAUGGAGUGAGCCAUAUGGACUUUUGUAUCUCGAGUCUGUGUUGGUAAAAUGAAGGGUUUGGGCUGGUCAGAAUGGAUUCCGUUCAACCCCAGAUGCUUCAUGAAGCAGCUACUACUUGAUCUUGUGUCUGGGGUUUCUCUGUUACAGUCACAGAACACUGUGGCUAGCUCUGGGAAUGUUGCAUGCGAGCCUAUCUCAGAAGAGUCACAUGGAAAAGGAAUUAGGACGGCACAGGUCAAAUUCCAGCUUGUUGAGUCGUGUGAGAUAAAUGUGGGGAAGCCCAGUGGAGAGCAGGGGCCCCAAGCCUCUCUAGAGACAGCACACACUUUCUCCCCAGGGGGUUGCAGGCUCAGCAGACCUCAGUUGCCUCCAGCUCCAUCCCAUCAAGUCUCAACUGCAAGGAACCAAUGCACUAUGAAUGUGAAAGGUGAAGACAGGAGUGAGGAAGACACCUAGGCAAACUUACCUGCAGGCAGACAAGACCCUCUCACAGUGGGAUUAAAGGAGCAUGCGAUGGUGCCUGGCCCCUGGGUUGUAUCUGCUGAUACUUACAAUCAGUCACCGACACCUUUUGGAGAAGGGUCUGAUGUAAGGAGAGAGCUCAUUGGAAGAUGGCAAAUUCACGUGCAUCUGAGAUGAGAGAGUGGGACAUGCAAAUAAAUCUCUGCUUCAGCUUCCCAACAGAAGAGCAGGGACAGAAAGCAGCCCAUUGGUCUUCAAGGCAUACUGUCAUCCAUCACACCAGGACAUCUCCAGGUGGUCUUAAAUCCAGAGAAACAUGAGCGCAGUCAUUUCAGGUCCUAAGACCCCUCUGAUGAGAGAAGCCUCAUUACCACGCGUGCACAGUAGCUAGUAUUUCACGUGAACUAACUGGCCUGUUUUCAUUCCUUUUAAAUACCCAAAGGCAUCCUACCUACACGAGGAGCCGAAGGCCUACAAACCAUGGUCGUAAAAACCUUUCGCUCACUACGCAAGUGCUAAAGAGCACCUGAAACCACUUUGCUUCUAUUUGUUUUGCCCCCUAAUACGCACACUGGUAUAUUAGUGUUUCUUUUGAAUCCCCCUGGGUUUGGAUAUUAUACACCCAAGUUUUAGUUCAAAUUGAGUUUUCACAGCUGGAUUAUAAACCAAUGGAAAUG